UUAAGCGACUAAGCGUACACGGUGGAUGCCUAGGCAGUCAGAGGCGAUGAAGGGCGUGCUAAUCUGCGAAAAGCGUCGGUAAGGUGAUAUGAACCGUUACAACCGACGAUACCCGAAUGGGGAAACCCAGUGCAAUUCGUUGCACUAUUGCAUGGUGAAUACAUAGCCAUGCAAGGCGAACCGGGGGAACUGAAACAUCUAAGUACCCCGAGGAAAAGAAAUCAACCGAGAUUCCCCCAGUAGCGGCGAGCGAACGGGGAGGAGCCCAGAACCUGAAUCAGCAUAUGUGUUAGUGGAAGCGUCUGGAAAGUCGCACGGUACAGGGUGAUAGUCCCGUACACAAAAAUGCAUAUGUUGUGAGUUCGAUGAGUAGGGCGGGACACGUGACAUCCUGUCUGAAUAUGGGGGGACCAUCCUCCAAGGCUAAAUACUCCUGACUGACCGAUAGUGAACCAGUACCGUGAGGGAAAGGCGAAAAGAACCCCGGCGAGGGGAGUGAAAUAGAACCUGAAACCGUGUACGUACAAGCAGUGGGAGCACCUUCGUGGUGUGACUGCGUACCUUUUGUAUAAUGGGUCAGCGACUUAUAUUUUGUAGCAAGGUUAACCGAAUAGGGGAGCCGUAGGGAAACCGAGUCUUAACUGGGCGAAUAGUUGCAAGGUAUAGACCCGAAACCCGGUGAUCUAGCCAUGGGCAGGUUGAAGGUUGGGUAACACUAACUGGAGGACCGAACCGACUAAUGUUGAAAAAUUAGCGGAUGACUUGUGGCUGGGGGUGAAAGGCCAAUCAAACCGGGAGAUAGCUGGUUCUCCCCGAAAGCUAUUUAGGUAGCGCCUCGUGAACUCAUCUUCGGGGGUAGAGCACUGUUUCGGCUAGGGGGUCAUCCCGACUUACCAAACCGAUGCAAACUCCGAAUACCGAAGAAUGUUAUCACGGGAGACACACGGCGGGUGCUAACGUCCGUCGUGAAGAGGGAAACAACCCAGACCGCCAGCUAAGGUCCCAAAGUCAUGGUUAAGUGGGAAACGAUGUGGGAAGGCAUAGACAGCCAGGAUGUUGGCUUAGAAGCAGCCAUCAUUUAAAGAAAGCGUAAUAGCUCACUGGUCGAGUCGGCCUGCGCGGAAGAUGUAACGGGGCUAAACCAUGCACCGAAGCUGCGGCAGCGACGCUUAGGCGUUGUUGGGUAGGGGAGCGUUCUGUAAGCCGUUGAAGGUGACCUGUGAGGGUUGCUGGAGGUAUCAGAAGUGCGAAUGCUGACAUAAGUAACGAUAAUGCGGGUGAAAAACCCGCACGCCGGAAGACCAAGGGUUCCUGUCCAACGUUAAUCGGGGCAGGGUGAGUCGACCCCUAAGGCGAGGCUGAAAAGCGUAGUCGAUGGGAAACAGGUUAAUAUUCCUGUACUUGGUGUUACUGCGAAGGGGGGACGGAGAAGGCUAGGCUAGCCGGGCGACGGUUGUCCCGGUUUAAGCAUGUAGGCGGAGUGACUUGGUAAAUCCGGUUGCUUAUCAACGCUGAGGUGUGAUGACGAGUCACUACGGUGAUGAAGUAGUUGAUGCCAAGCUUCCAGGAAAAGCCUCUAAGCAUCAGGUAACAUUAAAUCGUACCCCAAACCGACACAGGUGGUCAGGUAGAGAAUACUCAGGCGCUUGAGAGAACUCGGGUGAAGGAACUAGGCAAAAUGGUGCCGUAACUUCGGGAGAAGGCACGCUGGCAUUAGGUAAAGAGACUUGCUCUCGGCGCCGAAGCCAGUCGCAGAUACCAGCUGGCUGCAACUGUUUAAUAAAAACACAGCACUGUGCAAACACGAAAGUGGACGUAUACGGUGUGACGCCUGCCCGGUGCUGGAAGGUUAAUUGAUGGGGUCAGCCGCAAGGCGAAGCUCUUGAUCGAAGCCCCAGUAAACGGCGGCCGUAACUAUAACGGUCCUAAGGUAGCGAAAUUCCUUGUCGGGUAAGUUCCGACCUGCACGAAUGGCGUAAUGAUGGCCAGGCUGUCUCCACCCGAGACUCAGUGAAAUUGAACUCGCUGUGAAGAUGCAGUGUACCCGCGGCAAGACGGAAAGACCCCGUGAACCUUUACUAUAGCUUGACACUGAACAUUGAGCCUUGAUGUGUAGGAUAGGUGGGAGGCAUUGAAGUGUGGACGCCAGUCUGCAUGGAGCCAACCUUGAAAUACCACCCUUUAAUGUUUGAUGUUCUAACUCGGCCCCGUGAUCCGGGGUGAGGACAGUGUCUGGUGGGUAGUUUGACUGGGGCGGUCUCCUCCCAAAGAGUAACGGAGGAGCACGAAGGUUAGCUAAUCACGGUCGGACAUCGUGAGGUUAGUGCAAAGGCAUAAGCUAGCUUGACUGCGAGAGUGACGGCUCGAGCAGGUACGAAAGUAGGUCUUAGUGAUCCGGUGGUUCUGAAUGGAAGGGCCAUCGCUCAACGGAUAAAAGGUACUCCGGGGAUAACAGGCUGAUACCGCCCAAGAGUUCAUAUCGACGGCGGUGUUUGGCACCUCGAUGUCGGCUCAUCACAUCCUGGGGCUGAAGUAGGUCCCAAGGGUAUGGCUGUUCGCCAUUUAAAGUGGUACGCGAGCUGGGUUUAGAACGUCGUGAGACAGUUCGGUCCCUAUCUGCCGUGGGCGUUGGAAGAUUGAGAGGGGCUGCUCCUAGUACGAGAGGACCGGAGUGGACGAAUCACUGGUGUUCGGGUUGUCAUGCCAAUGGCAUUGCCCGGUAGCUAAAUUCGGAAGAGAUAACCGCUGAAAGCAUCUAAGCGGGAAACUUGCCUCGAGAUGAGUCUUCCCUGGGGCUUUAAGCCCCCUGAAGGAACGUUAAAGACUAUGACGUUGAUAGGCUGGGUGUGUAAGUGCAGCGAUGCAUUGAGCUAACCAGUACUAAUGAUCCGUGAGGCUUAACCUU
rnacentral:rRNA from 1 species